GCAUCUGGGCUAAAAAGGCAAAGGUGAUAGUGGAUGGGAGAACAACGAUCAAAACAUCUGGACCGGAGACAGAGAUCAACAAAACAACCAUACAACCAACUUCAGUGUCCAGAGACAGCCCAGAAUCUUCUCUGAGUACUGCGACAACAGGUAAGAUUCACAUCAUCUACAACCAACGACUGCUGCUUAGCAGUAACAAAAAACAAACCAACAUUUCAUGAAAUUGUGGACUACAGAGUUCAAGAAACACCACUUUGCUCUAUCAGAGCUGUGCUAUUCAUAACUGUGGGGAACAACAAAAUUUGCUCUUCUCCAGUAGAAGACUGGGUCCAGGAUUACAUACAGAACUUGAACAGAAGGAAAAAAACAAUAGACAAGAGAGAGUUUGCCAUCAAAAGAAUAAAAAACUCCAACACCAAUAAUUACUUUUGUCUAAAGAAGGAACAAUCUAAAUACUUUUGCUUCAAACAGCCUUAAAACAUCAGUUGGAAAAGCUUGGCCAACUUUGUAUGCCUGUAUAAUGAUAAUACCAGGAUAACUGAACUUCUAAGUCUAAUAAACGGAUAAGGUGAUGCUAGUGAAAAAUCAGCACUGUAGUUUCAGUCACAUUGUCAUAUUUGUAUUCAUGUUUUGUGCGAUAACUUCUAUUUUGUGUAUUGCCUUUUAUUAAUUUACUUAAUUUAAAAUCAAUGUAAGUAUCCAAAAAUAAUUUAACUAGUAACACAAAAUCUUAGGCUGAUGAAACAAGGGGCAACUUUUUUUUAGCAAUGUUGCUUGGACACUUUCCCAUUGAGAACGGGUAACAAAUACUUUAGAUCGGUAGUGGGCCCUGUGUCUCACCUGG